GUGCUGACUUCAGCAGCACUUACACUAAAAUUGGAAUGAUACAGAGAUUAGCAUGGCCCCUACACAAGGAUAAAACUCAAGUUCAUGAAGUAUUCCCCCACUUU